GAUGAAGAACUCAGCGAAAUGCGAUAAGUAAUGUGAAUUGCAGAAUUCAGUGAAUCAUCGAAUCUUUGAACGCACAUUGCGCCCGCUAGUAUUCUGGCGGGCAUGCCUGUCCGAGCGUCAUUUCAACCCUCAAGCCCCCGGGCUUGGUGUUGGGGAUCGGCGAGCCUCCGCGCCCGCCGUCCCCUAAAUCUAGUGGCGGUCUCGCUGUAGCUUCCUCUGCGUAGUAGCACACCUCGCACUGGGAAACAGCGCGGCCACGCCGUUAAACCCCCAACUUCUGAACGUUUGACCUCGGAUCAGGUAGGAAUACCCGCUGAACUUAAGCAUAUCAAUAAGCGGAGGA
rnacentral:misc_RNA from 1 species